UACGAAGGGGGCUAGCGUUGUUCGGAAUUACUGGGCGUAAAGCGUGCGCAGGCGGCUAUCCAAGUCAGUGGUGAAAGCCCGGAGCUCAACUCCGGAACUGCCAUUGAAACUGUUUAGCUCGAGUACGAGAGAGGUGAGUGGAAUUCCCAGUGUAGAGGUGAAAUUCGUAGAUAUUGGGAAGAACACCGGUGGCGAAGGCGGCUCACUGGCUCGUAACUGACGCUCAUGCACGACAGCGUGGGGAUCAAACAGG
rnacentral:rRNA from 2 species